rnacentral:hammerhead_ribozyme from 1 species
AUCCAGUUGACGAGUCCCAAAUGGAACGAAACGCGCAUCCUGGAU